CUUGUCCUCAACAGAGAAAUUUCCAUAACAAACUGUAAAGGACAAGAUCAAAAUACUUCCAGUAAUAAACCUCUGGAAAAAUCAUUGCUUCCUGUGACACUCCAAAUUGCUUUAUCUUUUCAGAAAAGAAGCCUCUGGUGAGUUUUAAUGACUAUAAAAGCUCUAAUGAUCUUCCUAUGUUAUACAGCUUCAAAUAGUGGUUCCUCAAAAAUGUGACAUUCUUCACAAUCUUCACAGCCUGGGUAUUGCUGCAUGAAGUUCUUCUUGAACGUUGGGCAUCAUGAAAACUGCUAUGAUUGCCAAGAUAAAUUGCAUGUGUAAUCAGGAAGUAAACAGCCAGCCAAACUCUGAAGACAUGUCCAGAGAUGGAGAGCGAAAAGACUUCCAGUUUUUCCCAAAGCCCCAGCCCUUUUCACUCC